UCAUUUCGAUUCUUGUUAAAUACGCACUUCUCUACCAAUCUCUGCACCGUUUAAGCUCCCUGGAGAACAGAUUUGGAAAGAAGUAUCUGUGUAAAAGAUUGUAAUUUGUAAGUUUUAGCUUUGACAACAUGUCAAACAGAGCUUUUAUCAGCUCAGUCAUGGCGAUGGUGUUGAGCAUGAUUGCUGUUAUGGGAGUGACUGCUCAACAUGUUCCAUCCCCUGCGCCUGCCCCUACCAGCGAUGGGAGCACCAUAGAUCAAGGAAUUGCCUACAUUCUGAUGUUGGUGGCCUUGCUUCUCACCUAUUUCCUGCACUGAUGCUACACAAAGACAAGAUAUGCUUUGCCACAUUUUUCGGAUCACAGGAAUUGUUUUGCUAUGGUCUAUGUAAAUUUUUAACGUUCAUGUAAGGGACUGGAUCGCCCCUGCUGUAGAUCAAGAGCUACAAAUAUUUAUAUUCAAUUCUUUAUUCAUUAUC